UACCAGCACCCCGAGUGGUCGGGACGAUUAUUGGGCCUAAAGCAUCCGUAGCCGGUUCUACAAGUCUUCCCGUUAAAUCCACCUGCUCAACAGAUGGGCUGCGGAGGAUACUAUAGAGCUAGGAGGCGGGAGAGGCAAGCGGUACUUAGUGGGUAGGGGUAAAAUCCGUUGAGUCCAUUGAAGACCACCAGUGGCGAAGGCGGCUUGCCAGA
rnacentral:rRNA from 1 species